AACGAACGCUGGCGGCAUGCUUAACACAUGCAAGUCGAACGGAACCUUCCGGUUUUGUGGGGCAGCGGGGCGUAACGCGCGGGGACCUGCCCGUAGGUUCGCAGCAACUCCCCGUGAGGGGUGUUCAUACAAGAGAGUGUCUUCCGGGCAACGAGUUUUUGCCGCUGGGUGGGGCCGCGUUGGCUUAGCUAGUUGGUGGGGUAAACGCGGACCAAGGGGACGAUGCAUAGCUGGUCUGAGAGGAUGAUCUGCCACACUGGGACUGCGACACGGCCCAGACUCCUACGGGAGGCAGCAGUGGGGAAUACUGGACGAUGGGCGCAAGCCUGAUCCAGCCAUGCCGCGUGAGUGAUGCAGGCCUUAGGGUUGUAAAGCUGUUUUAGCCGGGAUGAUAAUGACGGUACCGGGAGAAUAAGCUCCGGCUAACUCCGUG
rnacentral:rRNA from 1 species